rnacentral:rRNA from 1 species
AUUGAACGCUGGCGGCAGGCCUAACACAUGCAAGUCGAACGAGUGGCGGACGGGUGAGUAAUGUCUGGGAAACUGCCUGAUGGAGGGGGAUGAGUACUGGAAACGGUAGCUAAUACCGCAUACCAUCCGAUGGGCCCCGAUGGGAUUAGCUAGUUGGUGGGGUAACGGCUCACCAAGGCGACGAUCCCUAGCUGGUCUGAGAGGGUGACCAGCCACACUGGGACUGAGACACGGUCCAGACUCCUACGGGAGGCAGCAGUGGGGAAUCUUGCACAAUGGGCGAAAGCCUGACUGAGCAAUGCCGCGUGUGUGAAGAAGGCCUUCGGGUUGUAAAGUACUGUCAGCAGGGAGGCGUUAUCCGAAGAAGAAGCACCGGCUAACUCCGUGCCAGCAGCCGCGGUAAUAC